rnacentral:lncRNA from 1 species
UCUUCAACAAACCUGUCCUGACUCCAACGUGGAGAUGCUGGGAACACAGCCAUGAGAGAUUCUGACAAGUCUUGACUUCAUUCAGCUUCCCAGUCAAGGGACAAUUAAUUACCGUGAUGUGGAGUGAGUGUGCAGGAAAUUAGAACCUUAUUAACAGUGACAAUAUGGUUCUCAGGACAAACACAUAGAGCCCAUCUUCACUUCAUAAGGGAAGCUUUAGAAGGUGCCGAAGAGCGAUAAAAGAAAGAGAGAAGACAGAAACAUGGACCUAAGAGCUGUUUGGACACAGAAGGAAGAACCCUGAUGAUCCAGCAUUCUUUGUCUUUUCAUUUCCAAAAGGGAUUAUCUGGUCAGUGAAAUCUUUAUAAAGCAUUUACAAUAGUGCAGAAUUUUGUGUGGCAGUUUAAGUAAGUGUGCACCCUAUGAGAAGUCAAGGAAGGUCUUGAUGUGACGCAGGCAGAAACUCCCUAAAAGAUUCAGCGCAUGGACUCAGGAGAGGGCAGCCAGAGAUGGCCGUGAGAAUACUAAAGAAGAAAAAUUACAUGAUUGUGAAGAAAACUACAUAUAUCUAGAAUGUAUAAAGAACUCUCAGAACUCAACAAUAAGAAAACCAGUAAUUCAGUUUAAAACUGGUCAAAAGAUUUAAAUGGAUGCUUUAUUAAAGAAGAUAUUUGGAUAGUAAAUAAGCAUAUGAGAAGAGGCUGAACAUAGUCAGUGGGAAAAUGCAAAUUAAAACCACAAAGACUUCAGAAAGCUGGAUCUUGAAAGAUGAGCUGAAGUAAGCAAAGAAGAAUAAAAAGGGGUGCAGAGGGUGGAAGUUGCUCAAAUGGCUGGGACACCUGUGCUAUGAAUGGGGAGAUGUUGCCAGAGACAGGGUGAAACCAGAUAAUAAAACACUGUAUGCCCCCAUGAAGGAGCUUAUUUAACAAGCAAGAACAUGGCAAGGUCAGGUUUAUAAGGAUCUCCCUGGCAGCUCUGUGGAGGAUGGGUUUGAAGAAGAUGGACCUGGAGGACUGGAGACUGGUUGGCAGAAUUUCUGAAACAUUUCAGGUAAGAGGAAGAAAGUGGCUUGACCUGGACAGAAGUUAGGGAAAAGACAGAUUCAAGAUACAUCUGAAAUCAACUGGACACUAAGUGCUGAACAAA